UGGGGAAUAUUGCACAAUGGGGGAAACCCUGAUGCAGCGACGCCGCGUGAGCGAAGAAGGCCUUCGGGUCGUAAAGCUCUUUUAUAUGGGAAGAUAAUGACGGUACCAUAAGAAAAAGCCCCGGCUAACUACGUGCCAGCAGCCGCGGUAAUACGUAGGUGGCAAGCGUUGUCCGGAUUUAUUGGGCGUAAAGCGAGCGCAGGCGGUCAAUUAAGUCUGAUGUGAAAGCCCCCGGCUCAACCGGGGAGGGUCAUUGGAAACUGGUUGACUUGAGUGCAGAAGAGGAGAGUGGAAUUCCAUGUGUAGCGGUGAAAUGCGUAGAUAUAUGGAGGAACACCAGUGGCGAAGGCGACUCUCUGGUCUGUAACUGACGCUGAGGCUCGAAAGCGUGGGUAGCAAACAGG
rnacentral:rRNA from 1 species